rnacentral:rRNA from 11 species
AUCAUGUCUACGGCCAUACCACCCUGAACACGCCCGAUCUCAUCUGAUCUCAGAAGCUAAGCAGGGUCGGGCCUGGUUAGUACUUGGAUGGG